GCGAUAGUACCUCAACUGGAUAGAGGACUCGGCUACGAACCGAGCUGCUGCGGGUUCAAGUCCUGCCUGUCGCACCA
rnacentral:tRNA from 2 species